rnacentral:rRNA from 1 species
CACCUGUUUAUCAAAAACAUGUCUUUUUGAAUUUUUUUUAAAGUCUGACCUGCCCACUGAAUUUUUUUAAAUGGCCGCAGUAUACUAACUGUGCAAAGGUAGCAUAAUCAUUAGUCUUUUAAUUGAAGGCUGGUAUGAAUGGUUGGACGAGAUAUUAACUGUUUCAUAAAAAUUUAUAAUAGAAUUUUAUUUUUUAGUCAAAAAGCUAAAAUAUAUUUAAAAGACGAGAAGACCCUAUAAAUCUUUAUAUUUAUAUUAUUAUAAUUUUGUAGAUUUUUUUUGUUAUGAUAAUUAAUGAUAUUUUAUUGGGGUGAUAUUAAAAUUUAAUAAACUUUUAAUUGUUUAAAUCAUUAAUUUAUGAAUAAUUGAUCCGUUAUUAGCGAUUAAAAAAACAAGUUACUUUAGGGAUAACAGCGUAAUUUUUUUGGAGAGUUCAUAUCGAUAAAAAAGAUUGCGACCUCGAUGUUGGAUUAAGAUAUAAUUUUAGGUGUAGCCGCUUAAAUUUUAAGUCUGUUCGACUUUUAAAUUCUUACGUGAUCUGAGUUCAGACCGG